CACACACACACACACUCUCUCUCUUCCUCUGAAUCUUAUGAGUAUCGAGAAAGGGGUUUGAGCGAAGGGAUAUGGUGAGACUGAGAGUGUAUAAAUAGGUUAGACACGCAAGAUCAACAGUGCUGAUAUAAAGUUUGAGAGUUGGUGGAAGUGGUAAAUUUAGACAAUCGUUAUCGUAGGAGACGGAAAGUCAAGCGGGACCCAUGUGGCUGCAGAGAAAUGGCCGAUGAUCAGACCAGUUCUCUGGGUUUGAUUGAAACGUGUAGAGCAUAUGAUUGGAGAUGAUUUAAUGGUGGUGGAUUGUGGAAUGUAAUCGGCA
rnacentral:misc_RNA from 1 species